rnacentral:snRNA from 1 species
GUGCUGCCUUCCAGCACUUAUACUAAAAUUGGAACCAUGUAGAGAAGGUUAGCAUGGCCCCUGGGCAAGGAUGACAUGCAAAUUUGUUUUU